GCCAAACAUUGUCAAACUUCAUUGUGAUUGUAUCUUUGGAUGUGAUUGUUUUGUGGUUCACGGAGUCACUAAGAAGCUUUGAUAUCAUCUAUUUUGUGAAUAUUUAUGAUGUGCAGAAUUCAUGCAAAUAUUUCUGCCUACUGAAGUAUGAAGGAGUGUUAGCUUUUAGUUUCUAUUGGGCUUGAACAAAUUCCUUGCUUGUCCUGUUCCUUGGAAAGGAAAUUCUCUAUGAUCUUGUCUUUUGCAAGGUGGCUAGAAAAGACAAGAAUUUAUAAGAUGGUUGUGCACAAUGUUUGAAAUAUCGGUAAAGUACUUGGAUUUUACUGAUAUAUCAGAAAUAUAGAUGAAUAUUUUGACAAAAAUAUUUAUUAAAUAGAAAUGGUUCAAAAUUUAUGUAAA